GAGUUUGAUUCUGGCUCAGAUUGAACGCUGGCGGCAUGCUUUACACAUGCAAGUCGGACGGCAGCACAGAGAAGCUUGCUUCUUGGGUGGCGAGUGGCGAACGGGUGAGUAAUAUAUUGGAACGUACCGAGUAAUGGGGGAUAACUUGCCGAAAGGUAAGCUAAUACCGCAUACGCUCUGAGGAGGAAAGCAGGGGACCUUCGGGCCUUGCGUUAUUCGAGCGGCCAAUAUCUGAUUAGCUAGUUGGUGGGGUAAAGGCCUACCAAGGCGACGAUCAGUAGCGGGUCUGAGAGGAUGAUCCGCCACACUGGGACUGAGACACGGCCCAGACUCCUACGGGAGGCAGCAGUGGGGAAUUUUGGACAAUGGGCGCAAGCCUGAUCCAGCCAUGCCGCGUGUCUGAAGAAGGCCUUCGGGUUGUAAAGGACUUUUGUCAGGGAAGAAAAGGUUGUGGCUAAUAUCCAUGACUGANGACGUACCUGAAGAAUAAGCCCCG
rnacentral:rRNA from 1 species